GAUGAACGCUGGCGGCGUGCCUAAUACAUGCAAGUCGAGCGAAUGGAUUAAGAGCUUGCUCUUAUGAAGUUAGCGGCGGACGGGUGAGUAACACGUGGGUAACCUGCCCAUAAGACUGGGAUAACUCCGGGAAACCGGGGCUAAUACCGGAUAACAUUUUGAACCGCAUGGUUCGAAAUUGAAAGGCGGCUUCGGCUGUCACUUAUGGAUGGACCCGCGUCGCAUUAGCUAGUUGGUGAGGUAACGGCUCACCAAGGCAACGAUGCGUAGCCGACCUGGAAGGGUGGUCGGCAACACUGGGACUGAGACACGGCCCAGACUCCUACGGGAGGCAGCAGUAGGGAAUCUUCCGCAAUGGACGAAAGUCUGACGGAGCAACGCCGCGUGAGUGAUGAAGGCUUUCGGGUCGUAAAACUCUGUUGUUAGGGAAGAACAAGUGCUAGUUGAAUAAGCUGGCACCUUGACGGUACCUAACCAGAAAGCCACGGCUAACUACGUGCCAGCAGCCGCCACUG
rnacentral:rRNA from 1 species